rnacentral:tRNA from 1 species
GCUUAAUUAGUAUAAAAAGUAUUAUAGACUUCCAAUCUGUAGGUCCCAAAACUUAGGAUUAAGCA